rnacentral:lncRNA from 1 species
UACAUAGACGCUAAAAUUACAUUCCAGGAAUAAUCUCUGAACAAGACAAGUUUUUGUUCUAUUAAUUGUGGCUGGAAGGAAACUUUUUUUAAUGGAAAUACAGUGCACACAUAUUUCAAUUCAGGUUAUUAAACUGUGUUAAGUAUUAAAGUUGAUUGCCUUUCUUUUCACUAACUCAUUGUGCUUUUUUAUCCAAAGAAAUAUUAGAAGACUAAAACCUCUCAAAUAGGAGGUAUUAAUCUCAUUCCCAAAAUUAGAAAGCAUGCAGUGUUGAGAGACUGGAUGUCAAAAUUACAUGUUCAUAGCACUUAUGCUUUGGGAAUCUAGGAACCAACCACUUUUAAAAUGGAAGCUAAAAUAAUCGGAAAGCCUUCUGAGAGUGAAGCAAGCUAAACUUGGUGUGCUUGUCCUUACUGGAUUCAGGGGCACCCUUUCAGAUAAAAACAUGGACCUGAUUGGCAUCAUCCUGUAUCCAUGGAAACGUUAGCUCUGCAAGAUUGGCAUUAUCCUGUAGUAGUGUCACAGCCUGCAGUCGUUUAAUGCUGCUUCUUGUGAGGCCAGGAUUCCACGCCCAAGUGCAUUUAGUAGGAAAAUACUUCUAA